rnacentral:lncRNA from 1 species
AUGCCACUGUACUCAUGUGCUUGCAGGAGCCAUCAUACUGUGUGUUUUGUUCUAGCCUGUCCCAUGCUUUCUCUUCCUGCUGCUGUUGGGAGCCAAGCUGAGGUCCUGCAUUCCUUUCUACCAAGGAGAGAGGAAGGUGACUCCAAGACUGGUUUGAUGACAGUGAUGUGGCAAACAGGUUCCAUACAUUCUGUGUCAAGGACAGCAUUUUAUAGACCACUGUUGGAUGUGAUGCCACUGGUCAAAGUCAGACAUGAAGAUACUGGUCAUGGAUUGCAAAGACAUAAAGCAGCAGUGAGUGGGCCCAACACUUCUAAUAUCUGCUCCAUAUUGACACAGGUGCCAGUGGAAAUGCAAUGAGUUUUGACAAGCAGCCAUCUACAUACAAGAUUAACACUUCAGCAGCACCUAUGAAGAUGCACAAGACAGAAUACACACUUCAUAGUAGUAGAAUACAACCCUCUUCCUACCAAAACUCUAUGGAGAAAGCUUUGUUCUAGCUCUGACAUUUCUUAUAUUCAGUAUGGAAUUAAUCACCGGAUAAAAACCAUCUUUUCCAGUCUGCAACUUUUUCUCCACAAUGAGCUAAUAUAUAUAUGUAUCCCACGCAAUCCAGCAGGCUCUGGCACUGGGCUAAAAGCAGUCACAUAUUACAAGCUAAAACAAGCAAUUCAGUAGGUUAGAAAGACAUAUCCAAAGCAUGCAGUUUCCUCAAAGUAGAUACCUAAGCAUCCCUGAUAAUGUGUCCUUGGUGAUUAUUAUUCAAGUGCGUCAGCAUGUGCUUUAUACUUGCCUUGCUCUACCUAACACCUUUGAAAAUGGUGUUAGGUAGAACACUUCCCAUUUUUCCCAUGAACACUUCCCAUUUAACAAGUCCAGUAUCUUCAGUGGGAGUUUUGUCUUCAUAAGGACUAAGUAAAGAGCACAGAUUCAGAUCUAAAUUUAUAUUAUAUAGAGCUACUGAGAAUACUCUAGAAAAACCCAGUUAGAGAUAGGCACAGAGUUUUAAAAUCCCUGUGGUCUAAUCAAGAAGUAUCUUCUGUAAAAUUAGACCAUCCAUGUUUCAAUUUUAGUUUAAUGAAGUUCCUGGUGUCCCCUGUUAUACUAUCUGCUGGUAGUCACAAAACCUAUAACAAAUGGCUGGGUUUUAACCUGGGCUACGUCAGAACAAGAAACUCAGAUUCAAGGUGUUAAGUCAGAACAAGAAACAGGAAAACAAACCCACUUAAGGAAUUUCCCGCUAACUGACACCCCUUCUAGACUUAAAGUAGCCAGUCCUAUCCUUACUGCCUGCUGGUGCACGUGUGCAUGUGUGGUGUCACAGCUGCUGCUGGACAAGGAUUCAAGCCAUGGAAAGUUUCCUCAGCUAGCAGCAGAGGUGACGUUUGCUCUUAACUGUUGCACCCUCCUCUCUUAGCUUCCCCUGCCUUGAGUUUGUCAAUAGACUCUUAAAAUUGCGCCCAAUGCCCCUGGAAGCUGUUAUUGUAAUCCUUCAAUGGUAACUGAGCAAUUUUGUUGCACCAUGAAAUAUUGCGCUAAUUGGCUUCACAUGCAAAGGGUGGGCUAUCAGUAGGGGGGAAAAAAAGCAGCAUGCAAAUUCAUGCUGCCAGUGCUUGCCAGCUGGGGAAGGUUGAACUGGCCAGGAUUAGGGGGAAAAAUGCCACCUACACAGUGGUGGUGGCAUCAUCCUUGGCAACCUCUUAGGUCUAUCAACAGUUUUGAGCUGUUUUGUGCUCUUCUCAUUCAAAAUACUCCAAUAUUCCAUACUAUAUCCUGGGAAUUGUCCACUUCAAUCCCUGUCAGGUUACUCAUAUCCACUACUUCCUUCCACCUUACAUUCUGUUUUGACUCUGCUUGUCUCUGCCAUUGAAGCAGUAGAUAAAAUAUCUGUGGUACUGUACUUCUUCACAUUAAUUAUGCUUCAUGAAUUCUGCUACUUCUAUGCUUAAUGUAAUAUCACACAUGAGUCCAAAUCUAAAACCCCCAAACUGAGCAGGGUCUUGAUGACUGAUACCCAUAUGUGCUGUGGGGAAAUCAAAACUCUAAGUUUGUGUAAUAAUAAACACUAAUAAAAAGAAAUCUAAGUACCCUAC